UACGGGGGGGGCAAGCGUUGUUCGGAAUUACUGGGCGUAAAGGGCGCGUAGGCGGUUCGCUAAGUUGAACGUGAAAACUCUGGGCUUAACCCAGAGCCUGCAUUCAAUACUGGCGAGCUAGAGUUCUGGAGGGGAUAGCGGAAUUCCUGGUGUAGCGGUGAAAUGCGUAGAUAUCAGGAGGAACACCGGUGGCGAAGGCGGCUAUCUGGACAGAGUCUGACGCUGAGGCGCGAAAGCUAGGGGAGCAAACAGG
rnacentral:rRNA from 1 species